rnacentral:piRNA from 1 species
UGAUUGUUAUGGUCUGACAGGAAAAAUCCCCC